CGGCAGCAGCGUCAGUCUCGGGGUCUACCGGUAAGAAGAGGGGGAAGAAACAAUAAAUAAUAGCACCGAUGCAACACAAAGCAUGACAUGGAAAGAUGCAGGCUAGACAUGAGCUAACGCAGCAACAUCCGUCAUAGACGGGUCGGAAGAAUAUCUGACGAUAUUUUCCGGGUCUCGGGCUACUACCGGUUACACUCGAAACGAUGGAAAAGUUCCAUGUUUGCUAUGCUAGGGACGCGUGACAGACGAACGGACCGUGUAUCCGGGUUCGUCUCGCUCUGCUGAUCAACUUUCAUGUUGAAAUUAUUUUGAUCUGACUUAUGGAUUAUUUAACAUUAAUUUUCAAAGUUUUAUUAAUUAUUUAGGAAUUAAAAACAGAUUUAAAAGAUUUAGUAAAAUCCUAUUAUGACAUCAUCGCGAUGUCAUGCUGACAUCACAUUUGACUGGUCAACUGACCAGCGGGUCCCGAACGUCAUAGGCACAAGUUUUAUUUAAGAUUAAUUAUUUAUUAAUCAGAUUAAUUCAACGAGGGACCCACGUGUCAUACUCUAAUUAUGUUAAUUAAUUAUUUUAACUAAAUAUCUAUUUAUUUAUUUAUUUUAAGAAAACAUUAUUUUUAAUUAUCGCGUGGGACCUCCCUGUCAUUGACAGUGGUGCAUUGGCCCCACCGGAAAGUGGCCUAAGGUUAUUUACUUAUUUAUUUUUAUUAGAUACCUAUCCGUGCAAAUACCGUAUUCUUUUAAAUAUCCAAAUACACAAAUACAUACAUCACAUCUCAUACAUACAUACGGAAUACAACCUUUGUUUUUAUUUCUUUUUUUUUCUCAAAAACUCUCAUCUCUCAUCUCUGUGUUAACAGAGACACAGAAGUUCUUUUGUUACUCCACCUAUAAGAACACAAACUUCGAAUCCUUCUACCGGAGUCCACCGUCGACGGAUCGAGGCCCCGUUUGCCGGAACGGAACCGUGACGUCGAGGGGAACGACAAGGUGGGAGGAGCCCGAGGAGGGGCUCACCGACGGUGACGUGACGGCCCGGUGAAGCCGGAGUUCGCACGUAGUUGACGGUGGAGACGGACGUGGAGGCGGUGACGGUGCCGGCGAGGAGGAGCCGGCCGGAUCCGGCGUGGUGGAGGUGUCUCCCUGCCCGGUCCCUCCCGGACCGAGCGGGAGAAGGCCGACGGGGGGCCGGGGCGGUAGGCCGGCGAGGUGGAGGCCGAGGCAACCGGGGCCCCCUGCCGGUGGGGUGGAGGGGGUGGCUCGCCGGCGGGAAGGAGGGGCUCGGCCGGCGGGGAGGAG
rnacentral:lncRNA from 1 species